UAUAUAAGAGCAUGGGCGGCUGUUCCCAGGGAAGGCCAGUAAGAGCCUGGCUGUUGGGGAAGCAGGAGGCUCCCUGCAGUUAGGGCUAGGCUAGGGGAGCUCUAGCCAAACAAGCCCCCAGAUUGCAGGGCCUGCAUAAUGGCCUGGUGGAGAAACAACAACCCCUGGAAGGGGGGCUCAGAGACUGACUUGGGCACUGCCGGAGGGCAGUGUGGUGAAGAGGAUGAUGUGGCCUGGAGGAAGGAGGGGAAACCCCACCAGCUGAAGGAGCUGAUUCUGGAGACAGAUGGCAGACCCCUGCUACAGUGUGAUUACAGGAACUCCCUGCAUUGGAACAGUAAUGAAGCUGCUGGGUGAUUCUUAUAUUUCACAAUGCUACCUAGUGGACUCACUGCUCUUGUUCCAAGGGCGGGAAGCUGGGGAAGACAGAGGAAUGCAUGCCUGGGUGUGUGAAUAAACUUAAACAUCUGGAGAAUGAAAUUACCUUAGCUGGAAUCUGGUUUCAACACUGCAAAUAAACC